UACCUGUAAAUGGCUUAGUCGAAAUGUACAUUUUGUACUCAUUUAAUGUCUUAUGUGCUGUUGGUGUUCCAAAUAAAAUAAAAAAAAAUAAAAAAAAAAUGUCUCCACCAUCAUGUGUUACACUAGAAGAGAUCCAUGCUCAUUUUCACUCAAUACUGAUCCAAGGAUGGUGUUAUUUUGCUUGUGAUGAAGAGUUGAUAUUAUAUAAGAUAUGAAUUUUACUAUUUCCAAUAAUCUUUCAGUGAAGGUUUCUUUCUCUCAACAACCAGAAAUUGUUAUUGAUACUACAUCAUCUAUAGAAGAUAUAAAAAUGUAUAUGGAAACUCUGCAAGCGACUAUUUUAUGUAAAGGAACUGACAUACACUAUAGGUACGAUAUAUUUUCUUUCAUUUCUUUUAAUAUAAAUAAAAAUCUCAUACUAUUACACAUUCGGUGAAAAUUGAAAAUAAACUUAAAGAUUCACCUAAAUCGAGGCUCCAUCUAGAACUGUAACACCUGAAGUAAAAACAAGCAUCAAGUACAUCUUUUAGUAGUAGUGUGAAAAGAAAGAAAGUAUCUACAUUACCUUUAAAAAAUUCCAAAUCAUCUUGUAAGUCAAUAGAUAUGUGUUUUAGGUAGCAGAUUUUUUUUGUAAUUAUCUAACUGUAUGCAAAUGAACUUGUAAUAAUGUAAAUACAUUUAUAAAGCAAUUUUAUGAAAUAAAAAAAUAUGAUAUUUUAA